GAACGUACGCUGGCGGCACGCCUAACACAUGCAAGUCGAACGAAGUAGCAAUACUUAGUGGCAGACGGGUGAGUAACAUGUAGGUAUCUGCCCUUUGGCCUGGAAUAACACGAGGAAACUUGUGCUAAUACCGGAUAAGUCUUUACGGAGAAAGCUUUAUGCACCAUUGGAUGAGCCUGCACUUGAUUAGUUUGUUGGUAGGGUAAUGGCCUACCAAGACUAUGAUCAAUAGCUGAUUUGAGAGGAUGAUCAGCCACAUUGGGACUGAGACACGGCCCAAACUCCUACGGGAGGCAGCAGUGGGGAAUCUUGCACAAUGGAGGAAACUCUGAUGCAGCGAUGCCGCGUGAGUGAAGAAGGCCCUUGGGUUGUAAAGCUCUUUCGUCGGGGAAGAAAAUGACUGUACCCGAAUAAGAAGGUCCGGCUAACUUCGUGCCAGCAGCCGCGGUAAUACGAAGGGACCUAGCGUAGUUCGGAAUUACUGGGCUUAAAGAGUUCGUAGGUGGUUGAAAAAGUUGGUGGUGAAAUCCCAGAGCUUAACUCUGGAACUGCCAUCAAAACUUUUCAGCUAGAGUAUGAUAGAGGAAAGCAGAAUUUCUAGUGUAGAGGUGAAAUUCGUAGAUAUUAGAAAGAAUACCAAUUGCGAAGGCAGCUUUCUGGAUCAUUACUGACACUGAGGAACGAAAGCAUGGGUAGCGAAGAGGAUUAGAUACCCUCGUAGUCCAUGCCGUAAACGAUGUGUGUUAGACGUUGGAAAUUUAUUUUCAGUGUCGCAGCGAAAGCGAUAAACACACCGCCUGGGGAGUACGACCGCAAGGUUAAAACUCAAAUGAAUUGACGGGGACCCGCACAAGUAGUGGAGCAUGUGGUUUAAUUCGAAGAUACGCGCAGAACCUUACCAACACUUGACAUGUUCGUCGCGACUCUAAGAGAUUAGAGUUUUCGGUUCGGCCGGACGAAACACAGGUGCUGCAUGGCUGUCGUCAGCUCGUGUCGUGAGAUGUUGGGUUAAGUCCCGCAACGAGCGCAACCCUCACUUUUAGUUGCCAUCAUUAAGUUGGGCACUCUGAAAGAACUGCCAGUGAUAAGCUGGAGGAAGGUGGGGAUGACGUCAAGUCCUCAUGGCCCUUACGUGUUGGGCUACACACGUGCUACAAUGGUAUCUACAACAGGAAGCGAAACGGCAACGUUAAGCAAAUCCCGAAAAGAUACCUCAGUUCGGAUUGCACUCUGCAACUCGAGUGCAUGAAGCUGGAAUUACUAGUAAUCGUGGAUCAGCGUGCCACGGUGAAUGCGUUCCCGGGUCUUGUACACACC
rnacentral:rRNA from 1 species